UGUGUGUGAGCAUGUACACCUUGUUUCACUCUUUCCCUCCUUUCCUCACUUCCCUCCUCCUCCCUCUGAAGCUUUUACUAUCCUUCUUCUAUUCUUAGAAUUUUUGAAUUUUCAUUCCUUGUCCCAGGAAAUCAGGUUUGCAGAAGGAAGAACUAAACAUACAUGUUUCAACAGCCAUAUUUACUGGGAACCCCUCUGCGCUCCAGCACAAGAGUGUUUGUGUGCUCGGUGGUUUUUUACUACAAUUUGUAGAACUGAAGUUAAAUUUAUUAUUUCUAAAUUAACCAAAGAGAAAAAUCACAGCAGCAUUUCACCCUUCGUUGGUGCAAUGUUCAAAUGUGCAGAGUUGGUGCAAUGUUCAACUGUGCAGAAUAAAUAGCGUUGUCUCAGAGGUAAGUACCUGCAGAAGGUAAAAGUAGAUCAUUUAGCCUCCAAUUAGUAGUAUUUCAGCAGAACCCACUGCCAGUGUUCUCUGCAGCAGUUAGAGCAUUCGAACGUGUCACGUUGGGUGGUAUAAAUGUUUCUACUUUCAGUAUUCAGUUGUUUUAAUCUGCAUCGGACACCUUUCAAGUGGAGUGGAGUCCUGAACCUCUUCCUCUUUCCCCCAAGCAGCCCUUAUCCCACAGCGUGGGCUUGGCAACUGAGGUAAAGGACUCUCUCCCCACUCAGAAAAGCGAGAGGCCUAACACAGAUCAACCUCACAGUGCUACACUGAAUCCAAAAGUGGUUAUACAAGGAGGGUAGACUUGCUAAAUAAAAAGUGAAACAAUUAAAAAGUGAAGCAGAGUGUGGUAUUCAAAUGAGACCUGGCUAUCAACAAAACAAAACCAUUCACUAGUCAAUGCUCAGCACACUUCAGUCACAUCAAAAACAGCUCUUGAAUUAAAGACUGCAUUACAGUUUUCUUCUGCCAGUUGCUACUCCCUUUCCUGUCUUGACACGGUACUAGAAUGCUUUCGGUUUUCCUUCUUUUUUUUUUUAACUUUCUUUUUAUUUUUUUCUAUUUGAAUUAAGAGAGAUCCAUUACACUAAAACUAGUUUUUUAAAAAAGCCAAAAAUGACUUGUGAACAAGUCAUUUGCUAUUUAUAAUUAGAAAUACUUUCUAAGAAUGAUUCAUUAGAUUAACUGAACUUUCACUGGGCAAACCUAUUCUUAAAAUGAUUUAUAUGUUGUUCUGCAAGGCCACGGAAAUAGAAAUAACAAAUUGGUGUAAGAUCCUCCAGUGUCUAGGACAUAACCCAGAACUGUUACCGUGGGUCCCCAGAUGUGCCUUUCCAGCAUGGCUUGGCAGUCAGACUUGUGGCUUUAGAUUCCCUAAAAUUAUUCUCCUUUACAAUUUGAAAUUAAUAUUGAUGUUGAUGGAAUAACAUUAUUAUCUUUUGGGUAUUUGUGGAACCAUUCUGCUCAUUCUGUGUUCUGGUUUCUCCUUAUUACCUAUUUUCAUUUCUUAAAAGGCCUGUCAUGUAGUCUGUGGUUUAAUUCUCUGUUGGCCCCUAUGAGUCCAUGACAUGUUCCGGGCCUGUUCAACUGGUGUAUUUGCAUUUUGCUGCCAGGAGGUUGUGCUAUAAACAAUGGGGUUGAGACACCAGCAUGAGCCAGGGGAUGAAAUUUUAUUUUAAAAUCUGAAAUGCUGUGUAAGCAUUUAAGGUAUGAAUCGGUAAUUGUUUCAGUAACAGCUUCCAUUAGAUAUGGUUUAUUUGUAGUCCAUCCUCUUUUCAAGGAUCCAGGGGAGUGUUAACACACUGGAGCAGACUGCAUAUCAUUUACAUUUUUAAACCAGCAUUAAAGGAAAAUGACCAUAACUUUCGAGAGUUCUAAAUAUUGGGAGAGAUUUUAUGCCUCCAUCCUUAGAGAAAACAGUUUUAAUUUUUCAUUUGAAAAUAAGAAAAGAAACCUCCCUUUGCUUUGAGGAAGGAUUUGAAUGAUUCUGAAACCAAGAAAUACCUUUUUAAAAAAGAAAAGUCUGGUUCGAAGACUGAGAGCUCUUUUCUCCCCUCUAAUGAAAUCUGUAGAAUACAAACUUUUAAAAAUCAUCUGUCUCAUUUGAGAUUCAAGAUCAUCAAAUUCUGUCUAAAUAUUUUGUUUUAACUUCUAAGCUCAUUAUGGUUUCUUUGUGUUAACUUGUAUUAAAAUCUGUCAGCUAUGACUGGUCUCAUAAGCACAGUCAGCGGACCAGAAUAAGUUAAUUAUUUACUUGUGUCACUAGUGCUCUUCAUCUAAUGAAAUGCACAGCUGUGUUAGAUCUGCAGUUGGAUGUGUAGCUUCCAUUGUUCGGCGAGUCAGCAGAGGGUAGAAGCCCCAGUGAUGGAGAGCCCUCAGUUCUUUCUGCUGUUCUGGCUUUCUGUGUCGAUUUCAUGGAUCUUUUAUCAUUCACUUUCACACAAAACAAACAACACAGGGCUGUCUGCUAUGGGAACCAUCUUGGCAUAUAAAAGGGUUUUCAGAGCCUAAAGUAAUUUUAAGUUAGCUAAGAUUUAAUUUUUGGCUUACAGGUGCCCUUGAUUCGGAUGUGACCAAAGCAGUUCCUCUAAUGGAAUGAAAAAUUUCCAGAGUUACUUAUAUGUUUUUAAACGCAGCAUCAAAAAGGGGCCAAUGGAGUUAUUUCCCCCCAAAAAAGAAAGCGUACUACAUUUUACUCAGAUUUCAAGCAAAGUUAUUAGUUUCAGAUUUCAGGGGAAGGAGCAUUGCUUUCAUUUUAAUAGCGGAGUUAAAUGGGCCUGAUUAAAUGUGUCAACGAAAACUAAAAAUACCAGAUGCAAAUCCCCUCUCCUAACCUCCCCCCUUGUAAGUAUUCCCUACUUCUCCUUGAGCUUCUGUACCUCCUGCCCCUCACUCCCACCUUCUCCAGUUAGGGGGUGGACGCCAGCUUCCCCCUGUGAACUGUUGCUGAAGGGUGCCGAGGUCUUCCUUUGGUUUUGUUUUUAAGGGAUCUAGCCAAGCCUCCACCUCCUCAACAGCCAAAGUGACAUUCUGUCCAGAGCACGUCCCAGGACCAGCCUCUGCAGGAAUUGCCGUUUUUAACAUUUUGGUCACUGCCACACAAUGUUGUUGUCGAUGUACCUAGAUUUACAAUUUGAUCUCUUUCAGAGAAGAUUUCCCAGUAGCCCAAGUGUUUGUCAGAUAAUUUCAGUGUGGACAAGAUGGAUUUUUAGAGGGAAGAAAGAAGGGGUCACACACUCAGCUUGAUUUAAAUUCUAAUAUAUUGUAGUUGAAUUUGAAAUAAACUGAACUGAAUGAUCGUUUCUGUGCUUCAUGUAGGAAAGCAUAUGUUCUUUUAUAAUAAAACAGUACAAUUUCAACCAAAAAGCCAAUUAAAUGUACCUACAGGCUCUAGAAUUCAACACCACAAACCUGAUUACCAUAUUGUUGGCAGCCACUAGAAAUCAGAAUAUUAAUAACCAAUACUGAAAUAAGCAAAUGGCUUUCUUUUUCUUUAGACUUUAGCUCUUGGUGAUUAUAACAUAUCACAAAAAAAAUUAUUUUAAAAUAGUUUGAGUGAUUAUGUAGAAAUCAAACUGAGGAAUUAAGUUUCUUGGAGAGCAUUUUUUUUCAGUAGGUACAGAUUGUUGAUAACUUUAUAUACAAAGGAAAAGAAAUUUUAUCUUAGGAUAAAAGGAUCUUAUUUCUUUGUUCAAAGCCACUGCACAUUCCCAAUUUUAAAUUAUGUAGAUUGGGGUUAACAAUCCAAAUUAUGCCCUUAUCCGUCCUACCAAGAAAGAGAAAUUAAAAACAAUUUAAGCAACAGAAUCUCCUACAGGUUAGAUUAAUAUGAAGAGAAUAAUAAAAUACAGUUAAUUUUAGAGACAAUAGUGUGCAUAGAGCUGGUAGGUUUUUGUUUUAUUCUGUUUCUGUUCUUAGAAUUCUUCUAAUUCUAGCCUUUUCUUCCAAUAAUAACCUGGCAUUUAAUUUUCUUGUUCAACUUUACAACUUCAAUCAGAGAUCACUUUCUAAUGUGUUGUCAGCUAUAGGAAUUAAAAUUCCUUAGGGUGGUUUAGGCUCAGCCAGGGAAGCCCUGGCAAAAGCUAACCAACCAGCCAGUGCUCUGGUUGCCCCAUUAGCACAUCAGCCACACACGAAUACUUUUUGUCACCGUUUUUUUAAAACCACAAUGUCAAUACACUUUUCAGGUAGUUCUGUGUUUGAUAGAGGAGUCGGAUCCCUCUGAGGUGGGUGUACUAGGCAGCAGAUCACAGACUAGCUUAUGAGGAGCAGAAUUGCUGUGGACUGGAAACUUCAGAGAUGGUGACAGGGCCAGGGCCCAAAGUCACCAUCUUGGCUUCCAUGGCACAGGAGGUUGUGUGAGCAGCUUAGCAGCACCAUCAUUGUGUCAUGCUAGCAGUCGGGUCCGCAGGCUGCAAUGCCUCCCUGCAAUGAAAUGCCAUUUUCAAAUGCUUUAUUGCUGGAAAUUGCUUUUGUUACUCUUGGUAGAGACCACAGAGACAGAGAUAAAGGUAGCAGGGGGAGAUUCCAAUUAAGUACCAUAGUCAUCUCUUCUCCACACGUGCUGUACAUGGCAUGAGAUCUUCUCUU